UACGUAGGGGGCAAGCGUUGUCCGGAAUCAUUGGGCGUAAAGCGCGUGUAGGCGGCUGGCUAAGUCCGCUCUGAAAGCCCGGGGCUCAACCCCGGGAGGCGGGUGGAUACUGGUCAGCUCGAGUCCGGAAGAGGAGUGUGGAAUUCCUGGUGUAGCGGUGAAAUGCGCAGAUAUCAGGAGGAACACCGGUGGCGAAGGCGGGUCUCUGGGCAACUACUGACGCUGAGGAGCGAAAGCGUGGGGAGCGAACAGG
rnacentral:rRNA from 1 species